rnacentral:rRNA from 1 species
GACGAACGCUGGCGGCGUGCCUAACACAUGCAAGUCGAGCGGAGCUGCUUUUCGGAAGUCCUUCGGGGUGGAAGAGUUGCAGCUUAGCGGCGGACGGGUGAGUAACGCGUGAUGAACCUGUCCUUUGCAGGGGGAUAACAAUCGGAAACGAUUGCUAAUACCGCAUAAGCCCACAGCAUCGCAUGGUGCAGAGGGAAAAGGAGCAAUCCGGCAAAGGGUGGCAUCGCGUCCCAUUAGCUAGUAGGUAGGGUAAAAGCCUACCUAGGCGACGAUGGGUAGCCGACCUGAGAGGGUGAUCGGCCACACUGGAACUGAGACACGGUCCAGACUCCUACGGGAGGCAGCAGUGGGGAAUAUUGGGCAAUGGGCGAAAGCCUGACCCAGCAACGCCGCGUGAAGGAAGAAGGUUUUCGGAUCGUAAACUUCUGUUUUUGGGGAAGAAGUCAGUGACGGUACCCAAACAGCAAGCCCCGGCUAACUACGUGCCAGCAGCCGCCGUAAUAC